AUACGUAGGGUGCAAGCGUUAAUCGGAAUUACUGGGCGUAAAGCGCGCGCAGGCGGUUUUGUAAGACAGAGGUGAAAUCCCCGGGCUCAAACUGGGAACUGCCUUUGUGACUGCAAGGCUAGAGUACGGCAGAGGGGGAUGGAAUUCCGCGUGUAGCAGUGAAAUGCGUAGAUAUGCGGAGGAACACCGAAGGCGAAGGCAAUCACCUGGGCCUGUACGGACGCUCAUGCACGAAAGCGUUGGGAGCAAACAGGAUUAGAUACCCGGGUAGUCCACGCCCUAAACGAUGUCAACUGGUUGUUGGGUCUUCAUUGACUCAGUAACGAAGCUAACGCGUGAAGUUGACCGCCUGGGGAGUACGGCCGCAAGGUUGAAACUCAAAGGAAUUGACGGGG
rnacentral:rRNA from 1 species